AGCAGCCGCGGUAAUUCCAGCUCCAAUAGCGUAUAUUAAAGUUGUUGCAGUUAAAAAGCUCGUAGUUGAAUUUCGGGAUCAAUUAGUCGGUCGUGCCUCUGGUACGUACUGGUUUUAUUGGUUCCUCCCUUCUGACGAAACAUGAUGUCAUUAAUUUGGUGUCGUGGAGAAUCAGGACUGUUACCUUGAAAAAAUUAGAGUGUUUAUAGCAGGCUAACGCUUGAAUACAUUAGCAUGGAAUAAUGAAAUAGGACGUUCGACCCUAUUUUGUUGGUUUCUAGGAUCGGCGUAAUGAUUAAUAGGGAUAGUUGGGGGCAUUAGUAUUCAAUUGUCAGAGGUGAAAUUCUUGGAUUUAUUGAAGACUAACUACUGCGAAAGCAUUUGCCAAGGAUGUUUUCAUUAAUCAAGAACGAAAGUUAGGGGAUCGAAGACGAUCAGAUACCGUCGUAGUCUUAACCAUAAACUAUGCCGACUAGGGAUCGGAUGAUGUAAUUUUUAAUGACUCAUUCGGCGCCUUACG
rnacentral:rRNA from 1 species